AGCGCUACCGCGGCAUCACCGACCCGCUGUCGCGCGCCGACCGCGCCAAAAAGGCUAAACUACUCGCCGUGCUCAUUUGGCCGGCGGCGGCGGCGGUGGCACUACCGCAGGCGUUUGUGAAGUCGGAUAGCGUGUCGACCAAUGAAAUGGAUAAGGCGUGCACUGUUAAUACUAAUCCUAGCUACGUGUUCUUCAGCGUGACCUUCUCAUUUUACGUGCCAACGUGCAUCAUGCUAGUCCAGUAUGGUCUGAUCCUUCGCGCCUUGGCGUUACGCCCGCCAAUCCGCGCACACAGGGGCCAGUGUCCAAUUGUGGAGAUGGAUCAGAUAAAGUGCCCGGAAUCCUCGCAACAAACAGACGAGUAAGUUGUAUUAUUUUGUACCUUAUUUUUUGCAAUAAGGUUUACGUAUUCUCAAUCUUUUUCAGUCCGGGUGCAAUUGUAAGUUUAAAGGGAAAGAGAACGCAGGGCACUGGCGGUGAGGAGUAACAUGUUGGCCCGCAGGUUUGCUCGUUGCUCGGAUCAAGUCAAGAUCACGCUAUUUAAAGCGUUCUGUCAGAGCUUCUACAUGAGCAGCCUGUGGUUCAAUUGCACUCAGAAGGCUCUCAGUGCCCUGAGGGUACAAUAUAAUAACGGCUUUCGGGCGUUGUUGAAGCUGCCCCGCGCUUCUGUAGUGCUUCUAAAAUGUUUGCGGAGGCACGCACAGACGGGUUUCACGCCAUCGUGCGCAAAAUAACUGCCUCGCUAGUCAGUAGGAUGCGGAGCAGCUCUAACGGCAUCCUAAAAGUUUUUGUAGAAACGCCUGAUUCGCCCAUGCACAAACACAUUCAUAACUUAAUGAUCAUGGGUAGU